AUUGAACGCUGGCGGCAGGCCUAACACAUGCAAGUCGAACGGUAACAGGAAGAAGCUUGCUUCUUUGCUGACGAGUGGCGGACGGGUGAGUAAUGUCUGGGAAACUGCCUGAUGGAGGUGGAUAACUACUGGAAACGGUAGCUAAUACCGCAUAACGUCGCAAGACCAAAGAGGGGGACCUUCGGGCCUCUUGCCAUCGGAUGUGCCCAGAUGGGAUUAGCUAGUAGGUGGGGUAACGGCUCACCUAGGCGACGAUCCCUAGCUGGUCUGAGAGGAUGACCAGCCACACUGGAACUGAGACACGGUCCAGACUCCUACGGGAGGCAGCAGUGGGGAAUAUUGCACAAUGGGCGCAAGCCUGAUGCAGCCAUGCCGCGUGUAUGAAGAAGGCCUUCGGGUUGUAAAGUACUUUCAGCGGGGAGGAAGGGAGUAAAGUUAAUACCUUUGCUCAUUGACGUUACCCGCAGAAGAAGCACCGGCUAACUCCGUG
rnacentral:rRNA from 1 species